GCUUUCACUUAGAUUUUGUAAAUAUUUUUGAAAAACGCAACCACAGCUUAAACAGAGGCGUACCAAUUUAGUAGCCACUACUGUAUUUAGCUGGCUGUCGGCGUCAUUAAUUGAACUUGACAGAUGCUGUUGUCUAUUGUUGCCGGCAGAACCACUGACGACGCCAUCACCAGAUGACUUCUCUUGCUUCCCAUGCCCUAUGUUAGUUUAACUUACCGAGUUUUAGCAAAAACGUAGUACACAAUAAGUGCCACUGAUGCGAUUUCGAUGCCGCCAAGCAAGGAAAUUUCCGCCACACAUUGAGCGAAGUUUAAAACAGACGUCAACAUGAUGAACAAAGUAAAAUAUUCAAACUUUGGCGUCCAAAGUGCGUGGCCUUUUGUAAUGGCGGCCCGCAAUUAUGAUGACACCCAGCAGUAGUGGCACUGAUAUAAAGUUGAUGUUGCUGGCUGAUAUGUACUUUGCCUUGACUGUCCGCAAUCUUUGCGGAAAAAUACGACGCGCAUGGAAAGAGCGCCUCCUGCUCUCACUAUGUCUGUCAGUGUUUACGUGCUGCUGUAUACAGAUGCGUCCCGCUCCGUUCGCCUAUUCCCUGUGCGCUUGUGUGCUCUGGCCAUAUACUGCGUUCUACUCUACAUAACCAGACAUCAUCGUCGAUGUCGCGACCCGUAAUUCACGAGACAGCGUUGUGAAUUUUAUUAAAGUAUCGUAUGAUUUGGAUUCUGCGCGUUUUGAUUUAUUCCAAUUUUUCGUUUUAUUUGCAUCAAUCUUGAUAAUUCACGCUUUAUUAUCGUUCUUUGAUUUGUGCUAUUUUAUUAAUUUGUAUACUUGUGUGUGUGUUUUUUAUUUAUAUUUCGAGUGUGCAAUAAAAAACCGAACAAUUGUUUUUGUUCUAUUUUGGCACAGACACUUCUUAUUCCCUUGUGUGGGGUAAUUGCAACGGAUUUGUCGUUGUUGCCGGCUUCCUUUGUUAUUGGUGGUGAAUUGUUUUUUAAUUCUUUGUGUUCUUUUUAUUUUGUUUUUUUUUUUUCAAAAGGUAGGGCACAGAACGCGCAGAUGAUACGUCCGCUCGGCUCGAGCGCGCAAUUCGGAAUAAACACGCUUGCAAUCGUUGCUCUUUAAUUAAAUGCCAAUUAACGUGUGACAACAAAAGUGGAUGGAAACAUAUAAAAAACAACAUAUAACAAAUACAUAUGUAUAUAAACUAAGCGCAAGCCGAAGAUCACCAGCAACAAUUCACGAAUGACACAAGUUCUGCCGAUAAGAGCAUCGAUAGGCAACUACUGACUGAAUGUUAUCAGCUGGUAGGAGAGACUACCCAAAAGAGAGAGGCAAGUUGCCUCAGGCAACACAUCAAAUACUCUCUUUGAAGAAGAAGCAUCGCGACUAGCGAGCAAAACUGAGAGCCACACAUGACGUAGCGGAAAGAGCGGCCAAGAUUAUGUAGCUUUCCGAGGCAGCCCGAACAACACUCUCUUUUUGAAGAUAAGCGUCAGCAAGGUGUGGGAGUGAGGGGGGGAGCCAACGAGCGGUAAACACGCGGCAUCAAUAAGAGCAACAAUUGAAAUUGCCUAAGACUAAAUAGUUUAAUUAGAUAUUACUUUCGCACUGUAUUAUGAAUAAAAUUCAUACAACUUUUGUUAUUUAUUAUAUAAAAAGAGUUUUGUAGUCGGCUAUUAUGUGGAAAGUUUACUUCUUGGCCGCAGGCUUCUUAGCGGCAACCUUCUUCUUGCGGGCGGCCAACAGCUUGGCGCGGUUGGCA